GCCCUGUGAUGCCUUAGGAGCAACACUUGAAGUUAAGUGUCGCACGGGCCAGUAAUUGUUCAGUGGUUGUGUCGUCCACUGAAUUACGCAGCUUGACGGGAGCGUUGCAGGAGGCACAGUGUGCCGCUUAGGCAGCAGCAGAGGAGGAGAAAGAGCAAGACAUUUGUGAGAUGCAUCUAAGUGCAAGAGCAAGAGAGCAGGGGAGCAGAAGCUCAGCCGUGCAAACUGCUGUCUUUGUACUGGGGACCUUACUGCCCACCUGCACAUGGACUGGACUAGAUCAGGAAGGUCAGAGAGUGAGAUGCAGAGCGGUGCGCUUGCUGCCUCCUUGUGUUGCUCAACGCUCCAACAGAGCUUCCUGUGCGCGCCGUUUUCGUAAGUAUAGGCUUUUAAUGCAAAUAUCAGCAGGUGAAUUUCUGAUCGAGAACCCCUUCGCAUUUUCUGCCCCACUACAUCAUUUUGUCAGAUUAGAAAGUUCAGGUAGGCCUCUAGUCUCAUUAUUUAGAAUGAAUACCAUCCAAUUUUAAUCAGCAUCCAACCGAGGGAGUUUGGGACAUCCCAAGGGUCUGUAUGGUACAUGAAGUCUCGAUUUUGCCCAAGGUUGUUCUCUGGAUAUGAGUAGCUCCAACUUUUUCCCCCCUUUUACAUCUUUUUUUUUUCCGGGUUUCUCAUUAGAACUUGUUUCGGACCUCAUUUUAGCUGCAGGGCCCAACAGGGCUCCAAUUAGAUGGACGACAGAAUUAAUGAAGUCUGCCUCCCUCUCUCCCCGUGUCUCUCACUCUUCCUCGCCCUCUCUCGUCUCCUCCUCCUCCUCCUCUUCCCUUGCUCUAUUUAUCCCAGCGCUCAGGGGGACACUCGGUCUGGAUUCAGUCAGCGUGGCGGCGUUUCUUCUCUUACAAAAUUAAAUAUGUGUAAUUGAUGGUUUCAUAAACAGAGCUAACCUUGCCAGCAGCAAUCGGGAGCUGCCGUGAGGAGGUUCACGUGAAUAUGUAUUGUGUCAGAGAGGAGCCAGCAACUGCAUCCACAGGUCCGCAGGUUCUUCGCUCACAAUGAGACAGAGGGGAGGCGGGGGGAAGAGAUGCACGCUGCGAGAUAUCGACUGCAGCAGUCUUCUCGCCUCGUAACACAUGACAUAAUGUCUCCUGCAGACAGCCUCAGACAGCGUUGUUCUGAGGUAAACUCUCACUUACAGGAUGUUCUUCCUUUCUUUUGGUACUUUCUUUCUUUGCUUUCUUUAUCUUUAUCUUUUUACCACCGUGAAGCCAGAGAGAUGAAAGCAGUCUGAUCUAUACAGAUGGGAAGAUGAAGGGCCGCUCAACAUAAAUGUCUGGAAAUACGGUGAAAAGCGCGCUUGUGCGGCGGCCUUGCGCGAACACAAACGAUCUGACAACGUGAAGGAGACGAAUGUGUCACCAAAGUACUUGUUAAAGGACACUUCCAGCAACGGCUUUUAACUUGAACAGUAAACACAACUUCUCUAUAGUUCAUUUAUUUAUUUAUUUUAUUUCUUUACUUCUACACCUGUGCUUCCAUGUCUUUAAAGGAAAUGCUAACACUGUGUAUUCCUAACACUGUAACACGGCUUCAUAGCCAUCUUAAAUCCCCCACAGUACCUGUAGACUUCUAUUAAAUGUGUAUUUUAUUAACCUCAAUUGCAGGUAAUUGGUUGUAUUUUAUUGUCCAGAAAUAAUAAAAUGUAACCUCACUGAACCCAAGCUGUGAUUGUGGGGGGAGUUGGGGCCACUUGGGGGCAGUAUAACAGGGUUUAAACAGAAAAUGUUCACUUCUGGUAAAUAGGUUAGAGGAAAGGCCAAAAAAGUGCUUUUGUUUUAAGCACUGUUUUACCCCUACAGGAGGUGGAACCAAACACAACAACCCAUAAACACAC
ensembl:lncRNA